UACGUAGGGACCGAGCGUUGUCCGGAAUUAUUGGGCGUAAAGAGCUCGUAGGCGGUGUGUCGCGUCGGCCGUGAAAACUUGGGGCUUAACUCUGAGCGUGCGGUCGAUACGGGCAUCACUUGAGUUCGGCAGGGGAGACUGGAAUUCCUGGUGUAGCGGUGAAAUGCGCAGAUAUCAGGAGGAACACCGGUGGCGAAGGCGGGUCUCUGGGCCGAUACUGACGCUGAGGAGCGAAAGCAUGGGGAGCGAACAGG
rnacentral:rRNA from 1 species